UACGAAGGGGGCUAGCGUUGCUCGGAAUCACUGGGCGUAAAGCGCACGUAGGCGGAUUGUUAAGUCGGGGGUGAAAUCCUGGAGCUCAACUCCAGAAUUGCCUUCGAUACUGGCUUUCUAGAGGCUGGAAGAGGUUAGUGGAAUUCCCAGUGUAGAGGUGAAAUUCGUAGAUAUUGGGAAGAACACCAGUGGCGAAGGCGGCUAACUGGUCCAGAUCUGACGCUGAGGUGCGAAAGCGUGGGGAGCAAACAGG
rnacentral:rRNA from 1 species